UGCAGAUCGUUGGUGAUUCAUCUCGCAUGGGAUCUCAAGAAAAUUUGUGACAAUAGUUUCUCUUCCCUCUCGUCCGAUACAACAGAUUCAUCUCGCAUGUGAUCUCAAGAAACUUUGUACGCAUCAUCAACAAGGUGACACCAACUCUUAUGAAAAGUAAUCAAAAUGAUGCCUUUCUUAUUCUCCACCAUUUUUUUUCCUAUGUUUCUUUUGCCUACGUUGAUGUUUAAUUUUUGAUCCCUGAAGUUAAUCACGACAGCAUCUUACCGAACAUGGCGCUUGUCGCGUGGAGCAUACUUAAGUCUCCACGCAUACUUAAGUUUAUAUAUGUUGCUAUAUCAUAAUAUCGUGUCAAAACUCAAAACUAAAACUCUCAAAUCAAGAGUGUAAAUCAAAAGUGACUAAACACAUCAGUCAGAAAUCAAAACUAUUUGUAAUACAGCUCAUAGGAAAUAUUCCUAGAUCAGUUGGAUCAACAAGCGUACUAAAGUUAGCUUCUUUUUUUUUAAUAUUCAUCUUUUUUAUUAAAUAUUAAAAGUCAGUUACAAACUAUGGCCAUUGUCCUGUAGUUUCAACAAGCUAUUACGAAAGUAAGGAAUAUAAUGAACCAGAAACAAUCGGAUCAUUCACUUUGAUUUAUUUUAGAGGUAAAAAAUAGUUCUUAAUUAUAAUUGCUUCCCCCUUUGGUUCCUACUUUUAGGGUUCCUCGUCCACAACCCGUGGAUUGCAAGUGCAUCUCCCUAGCUUUUACUGGUCUUUCUCAAAUGAUUUUCUUUCCAUAAUGUGUCAUAACAUCCAUCGAAGUAUUUAUAUGUACAUGACAGCGUUGGGGCAGACACCAUAAUCAGAGUUUUAAAUUUAAUAGAUUUAUUGAUAUAUAUAUACAGGAGACGUUUACAUGUUCUCAAAUACUGAAAUAGUAGUUAAGGAAACCAGAUCAUUUACAUCUGCAUAAUUAACUAUGUGGACUUCAUUUGAUUUAUUACAUACAUCAAGAUGGGUGCUUGAAGGUUUGCUAGGAAGUAGGAAUUUUUUUUGUCUCAGUAGCCGCGACCACAAUGCUACCAUUGGAGGGAUUUUCAGAGAGGUCAGUGGUAACUAUAAAAGAUUCACUGGCAGAUUGCAAGCAGUGUUUAAAUUUGUGUUUAAGCUGACCACAUCUUUCACAUUUAGAAGGCAACAAAGCAUAUUCAACAUCAACGAUAGACAUAAAGUUCGUUUUCAUCAUCUGCAACGGUUCUUAAAAUAAACCUUCACUCAAUUCAAUCUCAACCAAAGUCUUAGCUUCGCCAAUUAGAUGAAGUCUUAUCUGGUUUUAUGAGUUGACAUAUGAGCAGCUAGACCCAAAGCUAUUUGACUUAUUCUAGGGAUAGAAUAUAAAUUGUUUGAAAUCUUCUUUAGAGUUACCCAUACCAGAAUGAUUUUAGAAUCAAAAAUCGCUAAGGAAGUUACUGGUGUCCAAGAUGCGACACACAUCAUCAGACAGUUAGCAACAUGCCGCCAUCCCCUUUAAAGAAUCCAAGUUCUAGUAAAUGUGUCCAGAAUAUGGAAAAGAUAGUUUUGAUUCCCAAGUUUCCUAAUUGUUGUCUUGUAAUUCUUUCCUCACAACUUGUUGAAGACCCCAUAAAUCAGAGCACCAAAAAUGAGAGAACAUCUAUAAAACUUUGUUUUUGGUUCUCUAAUCCUUGCAACAAAUUUAAACAUAGACAUGUCUUGGGGGUUGUUACCUUAGGAAUUAUAUUGUUAAAUUACUAAUGUAAUCUUGCUAAAUGUUAUUAAUUUUAUUUUGCUUCUUAGGGUUCUCAUUCAUGAAUUUAAAGAAUUGUGUUUUAUAUCAAAGAUCUUUUUACUAUCUCUCAUAACGGUGGUUUUAUUUCCAGAACCUCAUCUUCUUUAUAUUGAUUUGUAUUUUUGCAAGUAAGAAAAUGACAAACGAAAAAGACUGCUGUCAACUAAUCAUUUAAAUUUUGGAUUAGCAAAUGCAAUGGAAAACCAUCAUAUUUUCAGUGUUGCUCUUAGUCUGUCGUACGAGAUCAUGUAUCUUUCAACGAAACAAGAACAAAGUUUCUUUAACAUGUACGAUAUUAUAUAAAUUAGUUCAUGAAGCAAACAACGAAAGGUUUAACAUAGAUAAACAAAAUCAACAUCUUGCUACUUUAUUAUUUUCUUUUAAAGCAUUACAAUGUUAUUGUAAAAGAUAUCGACUCUCCAGGGUUUCACCAACCUUUGUAAUGAUUUAAUUUUGCAAUUUUACGCACAUAUGGAUGUAAUCACCAGGAUGUUGUUUAGCUUGUCUCCAUAUCCUGUAAGCCGUUUGGGUAUGAACCGAAAACAAUUCUGAUACCUCUUUUGCGGCAUUCGUUUGCAGUUUUCCAUAUAAACUUCUUUCCCACAAAGCAUUGAAAAUUAAAUGUUUUUGAUGAGUAGUGACAUAUUUUCUCUUCCUUUUAACAUUGCCAUUGACAUUACCAGCUUCGACUGUUGCUGGAACAAAAUAGUUAACACACAAAUUAACAAAAGUACUUUCUACUCAAACAAUACAAUCCAUGAUUGUGUCCAUGUCUCUACGAGUGUUCCAUGCAACAAUCUCAACAAAAAAUGAAUAGGUGCAUACAAUAUUCCAAUAUGCAUGCUUUAUUUAUUAUUUUUAACAUAAUUGUUCAUAAGUUAUUUGUUAUAAAUGACACUAUUUACGUAAAUUUAUUUGUUAGAUUAGAAGAUAUUAGGUUACGGUACUGGAUUUGGAUUGAACAAACAUACAUAUAUAGAAUAUGAAAAUUGUCAUUAUGACAUAUUUCAUUACAUCUUCGAUUUAUUAAAUAAAUUGUUAUUUAAUUUACCUGGAUCUUCGACCAAGUGAUGGACAUUUUGUUCUAAUUCGUCAGUAUUAGGCUCUUCCAUGGGCGGGCUUGAGUUCAAGUCGAUGUCAAGGGGACGUUUCGAGGAUGAUGAAAUACUCGUCAUUGCAAUGUUAUUUAUAUCUAGAAAACUAUUUCUAUAUUGUUUGGAGUUAUAAUAUUGAAACCAACCCUGGACGAUUUACUCUUGAGAAUCCAUGUAGUAUUAUAUAUAUGAAGAUGAAAACUUUUGGCUCCCAUCUAUUUUUUCUAAGUAAAGAAUAUUUCAGAAAAAACAUUUAAAAUAUUUCCUAGACUGAGUUUUCCACAUUUAUUCCCAAAGACUAGACAUGAAAUUUUACCAGAAAAAAAAAGACUAAGACCUGAAACAUUUAUGACUAUAGUCAAUGAUAUAAACAACCAACCAUUUAAUUAAGGAAAUAUUUUUCGGUCAAUUUUUUCAUGACAGAUAUUACGUUCUUACUAAUAUUCGAGUCAAUUGGAAUAAUAGUUACUUAAUAGUUUUCUAAAAAAAAAGUUAGUUAAUAGAUUAAUAAAGGGAAAACAAAAGAAUGGAAUCAAUUGAUGAUUUUUGUUUUUGUAAUCUUGGUUCUUCUUCAACAUUAAGGAGUGAGAGACUUGUUGGAGUUCCGGAGAAACGCGUAGAGGCGUCGGCCGAGUCGCACCGGAGUGAUGUUAGAAGGAGGAUGGAGACGUGACCUGAACCGUGCCAGAUAACCACAACGGAAAAGUGGAGGAUGCAGCACGAGCUUAACGUCGGAGGAGGCAAGGCGUGGUCUCGCAGCGAUGGUGCAAGGCGUGGUCUCUGCAGCGGUGGUGCAAGGUGGUCUGGUGGCAGUCACGGUUGUGGUGGUGCGGCGGAGAGAACACGACCUUUAGGGUUGACGGCGAGGAAGACGAUGUAGGCAGCUUGAGAAGAUUAUUUUUUAGGUUUAGGGUUUUUAGAUUUGGUUUAGUAAUGUAAACCGAUUUUCAUUUGUAAACAGAUAUCUAUUUGUAAACCGAUUUCAAUUUAUAUAUAUAUAUAUAUAUUAUGUCAAAGAUUU